rnacentral:lncRNA from 1 species
GAACAAAAAAGAGAAACUGAGAGUGGCUGAUCUAUACUAUCGUACACACAGUUUGGUAAUAGUUUAUAUAUGAUAUAUACUUUAUCUAUUUUGUUGAUAUAUUUGUUACUGUGUUUCAAAUACAUGUUCAUAUAUGUAACUAGUAUAUAUAUAUUUCUAUUUUAUGUUAUAAUUUGAUUAUGUUUUCGGAUCGGAUCGUGUCAAUGCGCCGUUUUCACAUAUACGUGUAUGAGGCGUGACAUUUGUGUUAUCCGAUCCAGUUGCGAUGAUCGCAAUUUUGCGCUAGCGACGCCGUUGUUUUUUAAUUCAUAUUGUUUUGUUUUUUUAUAUACAUAUAUUUAGAUCUGCACAUUUUUUUUCAUAACUAACUACCCUGAUUUUUUCUAAACCCUGACAAUUUCGCCACAAACUCUAAAUUUCAAAUCUAAAACUUUAACCGUGUUGUUUCCUCUAAACCAUAAACCUUUUCUUAAACCUUAACAAACCUUAUUAUUAUUUCCUAUUUUCACUCAUUUUUAUGUUAUUCAUACACUAUAACUGCUUCGCCCUUGUAAUAUUUUAAGUUUUAACUUGUAAUAUUUUCAGUCUUACUUUUCGCCAUCUUUAUUAUGUAACUGCACCAAAGCGUUGUAAUAAUUAGGGUUUUAUUUUUCU